GUGCUCACUUCGGUAGCACAUAUACUAAAACUGGAACGAUACAGAGAGGAUUAGCAUGGCCCGUGUGCGAGGAUGACACACAAAUUCGUGAAGCGUUACAUAUUUUU
ensembl:snRNA U6 U6 spliceosomal RNA